UGGGGAAUAUUGCACAAUGGGCGCAAGCCUGAUGCAGCCAUGCCGCGUGUAUGAAGAAGGCCUUCGGGUUGUAAAGUACUUUCAGCGAGGAGGAAGGCAUUAAGGUUAAUAACCUUAGUGAUUGACGUUACUCGCAGAAGAAGCACCGGCUAACUCCGUGCCAGCAGCCGCGGUAAUACGGAGGGUGCAAGCGUUAAUCGGAAUUACUGGGCGUAAAGCGCACGCAGGCGGUCUGUCAAGUCGGAUGUGAAAUCCCCGGGCUCAACCUGGGAACUGCAUUCGAAACUGGCAGGCUAGAGUCUUGUAGAGGGGGUAGAAUUCCAGGUGUAGCGGUGAAAUUGCGUAGAGAUCUGGAGGAAUACCGGUGGCGAAGGCGGCCCCCUGGACAAAGACUGACGCUCAGGUGCGAAAGCGUGGGAGCAAAACA
rnacentral:rRNA from 1 species